rnacentral:rRNA from 1 species
GACGAACGCUGGCGGCGUGCCUAAUACAUGCAAGUAGAACGCACAGUUUAUACCGUAGCUUGCUACACCAUAGACUGUGAGUUGCGAACGGGUGAGUAACGCGUAGGUAACCUGCCUGGUAGCGGGGGAUAACUAUUGGAAACGAUAGCUAAUACCGCAUAAUAUUGAUUAUUGCAUGAUAAUUAAUUGAAAGGUGCAAUUGCACCACUACCAGAUGGCCCUGCGUUGUAUUAGCUAGUAGGUGAGGUAACGGCUCACCUAGGCGACGAUACAUAGCCGACCUGAGAGGGUGAUCGGCCACACUGGGACUGAGACACGGCCCAGACUCCUACGGGAGGCAGCAGUAGGGAAUCUUCGGCAAUGGACGAAAGUCUGACCGAGCAACGCCGCGUGAGUGAAGAAGGUUUUCGGAUCGUAAAGCUCUGUUGUAAGAGAAGAACGGGUGUGAGAGUGGAAAGUUCACACUGUGACGGUAUCUUACCAGAAAGGGACGGCUAACUACGUG